rnacentral:lncRNA from 1 species
CCAGACACGACAUUUCAAAGACCCCGUUGCCAUCCUUUCCGGGUCAUCCCGGAGCUCCUAAUAUUCCCGAAGGGGACCCCCGGGAGGAGGAGCCGAGGCUCUUCCUUACUUGCACAGUCUUCCGAGGCAGCACGACUGUGUCGGGGGCGUGGUGGCGCGGGGCGGUGGGGGCCACAGCCGUCCGCUGGCGGCGUCCGGGGUCGCGCAGGUGCCCCGCGCUCAGGUGCCCGCGCCAGGUGUGCGCGGGGCGGGCGCCGUCGGGCGGGCUCCGGGGCCCAGGGGCGCAGCCAGCGCGCCCGCGCCUCCCGCCUAACGCCCUCCGGCCGCGCGCGCCCCGCCGCCCGGGGAGGGGGGGAGGGGGGGAGGGGAGGGGAGGGGAGGGGCGCCCUUCUGCGGACCCCAGCUCGCCCGCCGCCCCGUGGGGAGCCGGGUCUCCCUGUCCCCGACGCCCCGCGCGGCCCCAGGCCCCCAGCCCGGCGGAGGGCACGCGGGCGGGGGUGCUGGCUGCGAGCCCGCGGCCGCCGCUUACCUCCGUGGCGGGGCCGCGAGCCCCGGGCGGCUGGUGCGUGGGUGGCGGGCGCCGCGGGCCCGCGGGAGGCUCCGGGCUGUCAGGCACGGCGGACCCACGGCGGACCCACGGCGGCCCCCGCAAGCCCCGCCCGCCGCCCGGGCCCGGGCUCUGCGGCGGGGACCCAGGCGCCCCGCAGCGCCUCCCGGAGGACCAAUCGGGAGCGGGGGGCCGGCCCGGGGGAGGGGGCCAGGGGCCGGGGGAGGGGCCGCCCGGGGGGAGGGAGCCGGCCGGGGGGAGGGGGCCAGGGGCCGGGGGAGGGGCCGCCCGGGGGGAGGGGGCCGCCCGGGGAGGAGGCCAGGGCCGGGGGGGGGCGCCCGGAGGGGGGGGCAGGGGCCAGGGGCCGGGGGAGGGGGCCGGCCGGGGGGAGGGGGUGGUGGCCGGGGGCCGGUCGGGCGCCGGUACGCGGGCCCGGACCUCGUAGGCCGGUUUCUAUGGCAGCCAGGAAGGAGGCGCCGGGGGGAGGGGGAGCGCGGCGCGGGGACACCUGUCGGAGACCCGGAGGCGGGGGUCUGGCCCUCGCACGGCAAGGAUGGGAAGCGGCGGCAGGGCCACACCCGGCUCUCAACUCACGCCGGGUGCGGAACCGCUGGAGACCCUCGAUCAAAGGUUUGCGGGUCCGUGGGAGACCGCGACCCCGUAACCUUCCCGACAGAACCGGGUUUUGA